GACGAACGCUGGCGGCGUGCUUAACACAUGCAAGUCGAGCGGAGCGGCGAACGGGUGAGUAACGCGUGAGUAACUGCCCCCCUCUCUGGGAUAACAGUUGGAAACGGCUGCUAAUACCGGAUAGUGGGGGAUGACUCGCGUCCUAUCAGCUUGUUGGUGGGGUAGUGGCCUACCAAGGCGACGACGGGUAGCCGGCCUGAGAGGGCGACCGGCCACAUUGGGCUGAGAUACGGACCAAGCAACUACGAGAUGCAGCAGUGGGGAAGAUUGAACGAUGGGAGAGACCCUGAUGAAGAAACGCCGCGUGAGGGAGGACGGGCUGCGGGUUGUAAACCGAUGUCAACAAUGACGAGGUGGUGGCACAAGAAACACAAGGUAACUACGGGCCAGGAGCCGCGGUAAUUC
rnacentral:rRNA from 1 species